CUUUCCGCCUACCAUCUUUUGAAGGUAACCCUUUUCUCCUCUCUCUCCUAUUUAUAUAGAGAUACUUACAAUUUAGUGGCUAUUCAAUGAAAGCAAGUUUCUUUACAAGAAAAAGAAAGUUUACUGAUUUUUAUAGCUGGUAGGCUGUAAACCAUUUAGCUGAAUUUGGAAUUUAUAAUGUUCAAAUUAAAAAAAUAAAUAUUAUUUCUAUGAUUUUUGCUUUUUUUUUUUUCAAUCUGGGUUUUGUGGUACUGCCUUUGUAUGUUUGUUUCAACUUGUUAUAUUAAAUUCUGGGGCAUUUGCGAACUUUGUUGUGAUUGAAUUAUGGAAGUUGGAAUAUACGAUUAUCUACUGUAACCGGGUUUUGCUUGUUGGUUUGUUCAAUUCUUGGAGUUUUUUAUUUUUAAAUGGUUGGUCAAAGUAAAUGUUUUUGUUGAAAGAAUGGUAAGAUUGAUCACUUAUUAUCAUGUUGUAUAAUUCAUUAGUAAGAUUAUUACAAGAUAAAAAUCUCUAUAAGCUAUCAUUUGAUGUCAUAUAGGCUAUAGUCUUGGAAGUACUUUUGCUAUUCAGGUGAAGUUAUUGUGACACUUGAUGUUUUCAUGCAUGCUAUUUUUCAACAAGAAAGAAAAAACUUGCUGUUUUUAUAAGGGAACAUUUUAUUUUUGGUACGGCAUCAUCUAUGGCAAGCAGAAGAGCUAUAGACACUUGGUUUUGGUGCUCAAUCUGCAGGAUGCCAACGUUUUCAGAGGCGUUUGAUUUUGCAAAGGCAGUUCUGCACAACGAGUAGUGGAGUUUCUAUUUCUUGCUCCAACUCCACCUAUUGAAAGGUUAAAGGAUGCACGAGUAAUAUAGAGUGUAGUUCCUGCCAUGGGUCAUAACCAGGAAUCUUCAGCUGAACUCUGCUUUCAUAGAUGGAUGUUCUAAUGUGUUAUGGAGUCUUUGCUCCUGUGAAGUAUUCAUUUCUGGGGCAUGCUUGUCUUGUUUUUGUGGUGGACAUCGGUUACAUGAAGUCUUGCUUUGGCUUGUGUUCUGAUCAUGUCAUUCUUUAGAAUAUUUUCUUUAUUCUAUCACAAAGUGAGAAAACCGAAGCUUACUUGAGGGGCUUUUCUCCAUCCUUUUAUCGUGCUCCUUUAGCAUACUUGGGCUCUGAAACUCAAAUUGGUUCGAUUGAGCUCAGUGUAUUUCCAUAUGUAUGUGCCAGUUGACUAAAUGCUGGACUUUUUAGAGGUUGAUUAUACAUGUUUUGGCUACCUAUUGAGGAACAUUUGAUUGUUUCUCAGUGUGUUGUUUCAAAUUACAAAUUCAAUUUUUGUCUUCAAUUAUAUAAGAGCAUACCUAAUCAGGAUAGGAUUGGAAGAUCUUGAAUUAGUACAAUUUAUGACAUUGGAAGAAAUGUCAACUGCAUGCCCCUUAAAAAGUUGGGAGUACUGUAUAGGGACUAACAAUUUGCAGCUGAGGGAGUAACUUCUUGAUUUACUAUGGUGUUGCUUCUUUGCAAUUCAUGCUUUGGUUAUCUUUGAAGGUGUGUGUGUGUGUGUUUUUUUUUUUUUACUUAGUUCAUGGAUCCCCCCCCCCCCCCCCAUCAUUUAUUUUCACUUACAGGAGGCACAUCCAGAAUUCCAUCUUAGAGUUCCUGCAAUUGUGAGUGCUCUUGAAAAGAAAGAGGUCACUUCGAAGGAUUUGCUUUGAUCAAGCCUCCAGGGCAUCAUGCUAUACCAAAAGGGCCCAUGAGCUUUUGUGUUUUUGGCAAUGUGACCAUUGCAGCUCAUCAUGCCCAAUCGUGUGCAUGGAUUAAAACGAGUCUCAAUCAUUGAUUUUGAUGUUCACCAUGGGAAUGGGACGAAUGAUGCAUUUUAUGAUGAUCCAAAUAUAUUCAAGAUGGAAGCUAUCCAGGUACUUGUAAAAUUGACGAGCUAGGUCAUGGAGAUGGUGAAGGUACAUUUUUAAAUCUGCCUCUACAAAGAGGCUCAGGUGAUAUUGCCAUUAGCACCGUAUUUGAUGAAGUCAUUGUACCAAGUGCUCAAAGGUUCAAGCCAGAUAUUUUUCUUGCUUCUGCUGGGUAUGAUGGUCCUGUUCUGGAUCCACUAGGAAGUCUUUGAUUUACAACAGGAACAUGCUGCAUGCUUGCCUCUAAUAUUAAACAACUGGCGAAAGAUCUGUGGUGCCCGUUGUGUGUUUUUCUUGGAGGGAGGAUACAACCUUGAUUCUGUUUCAUAUUCAGUGGCGGGCUACUUUCAUGCUUUCAUUGGGGAGAAGAGUUUGGCAUCUGAGUUUGAUAACCCUGCCAUCAACUAAUAUGAAGCAAGCGAUUCGGAGAAUUAAACACAUGCAUUCUCUUUGAAGAUGUGUAGGCAUUAAUUACAUGUCUGUCUAGAAGUAGCUUUGCCAGCAAGCUUGUUGGGCACCUAAAACACCAGCAGAGCUUUCCUUGGUUGAAUACUGCAAUCUCCAAGGUGGUUCUUUAGAUGUCUUAAAAGGAUAGUAAUUUUCCUGUAUAGUAUCGUUUAACACGUACAAGUAACACGCGUUAGCUAGUAAAGUUAUAUCCUGCAAAAGAAGAUUCUAGUUCAUAUUUA